rnacentral:tRNA from 1 species
GCAUUGGUAUUUCAGUGGUAAAAUUCCUGCCUUCCAUGUGGGAAACUCAGGUUUGAUUCCUGACCAAUAUA